UGAACGCUGGCGGCGUGCCUAAUACAUGCAAAUCGAGCGACCAGACGAGGAGCUUGCUCCUCUGACGUUAGCGGCGGACGGGUGAGUAACACGUGGAUAACCUACCUAUAAGACUGGGAUAACUUCGGGAAACCGGAGCUAAUACCGGAUAAUAUAUUGAACCGCAUGGUUCAAUAGUGAAAGACGGUUUUGCUGUCACUUAUAGAUGGAUCCGCGCCGCAUUAGCUAGUUGGUAAGGUAACGGCUUACCAAGGCAACGAUGCGUAGCCGACCUGAGAGGGUGAUCGGCCACACUGGAACUGAGACACGGUCCAGACUCCUACGGGAGGCAGCAGUAGGGAAUCUUCCGCAAUGGGCGAAAGCCUGACGGAGCAACGCCGCGUGAGUGAUGAAGGUCUUCGGAUCGUAAAACUCUGUUAUUAGGGAAGAACAAAUGUGUAAGUAACUAUGCACGUCUUGACGGUACCUAAUCAGAAAGCCACGGCUAACUACGUG
rnacentral:rRNA from 1 species